rnacentral:rRNA from 1 species
UACGUAGGGGGCAAGCGUUGUCCGGAUUUAUUGGGCGUAAAGAGCGUGUAGGCGGCCAGACAGGUCCGUUGUGAAAACUCGAGGCUCAACCUCGAGAUGUCGAUGGAAACCGUCUGGCUAGAGUCCGGAAGAGGCGAGUGGAAUUCCUGGUGUAGCGGUGAAAUGCGCAGAUAUCGGGAGGAACACCAAUGGCGAAGGCAGCUCGCUGGGCCACUACUGACGCUGAGAAGCGAAAGCAUGGGGAGCGAACAGG